GGGAGCUGUUGCCCAGGAAACAGUAUGAUGUCAUUGCACUAGAGACAGUUGCUAUGGUUACUGAGUUGGCUGAGGUAACUGGGAAUAAAGGAGUUGUUAUCAGACCAGAGCCAGGAAAUGUUCCCUUUAAUGGGAAUAAUAAAAAAAAGACACUUUUAAUGUAUUUAUGUUUCAGGGCGGUUUGCCUGUGAUUCAAAGUCCCCAGUUAUUUUUCUGAUGCACUGUGCUCAAUUUGGGCUUCUUUCAGUUGGGCUGAGUGAUCUUGCUCAUCUGUUUCUACUCUUGAAUGUUAUUGUGGACAUCACACCACAGUAAAAUGGAAAAAAGAACUGUGUUGUCCCGUGCUUCUGUGUAAUAUGUGUUCCCACCUGUUGUUGCUGUUUGCUUUUUCCUGUUUGGUUUCUGUGUUUUCUGUGAUGAAUAGUCCAGCCCAGUUAUUAUCCCAGCUGAUGUCAGAGAUACGCUAACAGUGAAUAUUACAUGUCUGAGCUUGCUUCAUCUGCCCCAGGCUCUGUCUGUAAAAGGCAAGCUAUAAUUUGUUUUCCACUUCUUUUCUGCCUUCUACCUGCUUUUUGUUUUUCAUUGUAGUCAUUGCAGGAGUCCCAGGAAAAGUCCAAUGCGAAAAGUGAAGCAGAGAUUAAAUAAAAAGUAGGAGGCAGCUAUUAGAGAUGAAGAAAUAUAUGCAAGAUUGCACUUCACUGAGAGCAAUGUGGAAAUGUGUGUAGCUGAUCGUGUUUCAUGUGAGGAUGCAGGAACGUGAAUAGUGGUGGGUCAGCAGGAAACAGCAAUUGUAAGAGAUGGCAACAAGAUAAAACAGCUAAUGGAGGUGAAAAGUGGCAGUCAGUCAGCACUGAGAGGCUCAUAACGGUCAGGUGAGAGACAUGGGGCAUCACUAAGCCUGUCUUUCAGACGUGUGUAAAUGCUUAAUUUCUAACCUGAUAAAUGUUUAGCUAAUCAACAUGCAAUGGUGCUAUUUGCAAAUCUUUUGAGCUAGGGGACUUGCAUCACUGUGAAAUGUGGGCCAAUAAUCAUAGAACUUCCUGGACUCACAAUUUUAUGGUUGCUAGAAUGGAAUACUGUUGAAUCUGAUAUUGGAGUGAUAUGAUUCCUGCCAUGAAUGGCCACCGAAGUUACUUUUCUUGUUAAAUAGGGUUCAGAAUGACCCCUUGAAUUUGUGUUUGUUUUAGUUCACUACCAUACAACAUGGGUUUAUUUAAAUACAUUUUAAAUGUAUACGUUUAAAUCACCCUUUAUGGUAACGUAUGAGAAAGAAAGCAAGAAGAUGGAGUGUAUUUAACGGUCAGGAAGGUCAGUAAUUGUAUUCAGUGAUAUAGCAAUACUAGAGAUUGUAUAUUGAUAAAGAAUUACAGGUUUGUUUUCUACUACUGUCUACUGCUUGGGAUAUCUGUAUGUGAAAAUCUGUGUGUAGAAGGAAGCACCAUCCGCUGUUAGACUAUGGACAGUCCUACAAGCAGGGUGAUCUCAGCUUUUGCUGAGCAAUGCUUCCAUCUACUGGAGAACUCUCUUCUCACAGUAUUUAUUCUGAGACCCAAAGUCUUGAUAGUUAAAACCCCCAUAUAUUUAUUGUUUAUCAAUUAUUCUGAGAACAAAGAUAGUUCCUCUAUUCUAUCAAGUAGCUAACACAAAGUGCUUUUACUUCUUUACAUUUGAAGGAUGUAUAGUUAUCUACUUAUCUUGAGUCAGUACUCUGUGUUGUGUUUUGUUGGUUUUUUUUUUCCUGAAAUGCAGUUCUUAAGAUGGUAGUAAUAUAAAUUGAAGUACAAAAUGUAGAAUUAUCUUGCUAGAGAGUGACUGUGUGAUUUGUGGCAUUAAAUAAUGAUUUCAGGAAGAGACUUCAGAGGCUGUAGGAUUACCCUCAUACUCUUUAUGAGCAAACAGGAUUGAGGUAGAUAUCCAUUGAGACAGAACAUAUAUUAGUGUUGGAGUUAGAGAAUUAGACUCAGUAGAAUUUGCACUGCUGCUGUGCAUCAGAGUUUGCCUGUGCUUUGCCAGGAUCACUGUAGGAGGCACUCAGCACUACUGUAAUCAGUACUGAUCUGCCAUUUAGGGAAGUGAAAGUUUUUUUUUUUUCUUGUGGCUGAGAAGAAACGCUAGGAAUAGUGGCUUCCAGUUUUCUUAUUAGAAUCUCCCUGAUUCCUUAAGCAUGUUAAAGUGUCCGAUUAGAAAAAUUAGGAACAAACUUGUAAAAUGCACAAAGACUGAAUAGUAACAAUAUCAAAGUACCUUUGGACUUGAUACAAGUCACAGAAUGGCUUGGGUUGGAAGGGACCUCAAAGCCUACCCAGUUGCAAGCCGUGCCAUGGGCAGGGACGCCUCCCACCAGAGCAGGCUGCCCACAGCCCAUCCAGCCCAGUCUUGGGCCCUGCCAGGGAUGGGGCAGCCUCUGAGUAGAGUUUCUUCCUAAUGGCUAAUAUAAACUUACUCUCUUUUAGUUUAAAACCAAUACAGCUUAUCCUGUCGCUACAUGAAACAAAUAUAACAAAUAAAAGUGAUAUCCUUAUAUGGAAUUAUAUAUACAAUUUAAAAGUUUAUAUAUAGAUCUGUGUACUAUCAAAGUUUUAUAGGUAUGCAUAUACAACUACAUAAAUGUGUGUGUAUACAACAUGAUCACAAAUGAAUAUAACACAGUAAGUAAAUAAACAGUACUUAGCUCAUUGCUUCUAUGAAAAGAACACAAUGUCACUGCACCUUGUCCCUGCCUACAUGCAAUCUAUGUGAUUCUGUGCCCUUUGGGAUCAUUAAUACUCUGUGAUAAGUAUCUUCAUUUGUUCACGUGAAAUCUUGAUGAACUUCUAUAAUGGCCUUCACUAAAUAACUUUGUAGAAUGCAUCAGCUUUCACAUUUUGUAUUACCUUUAAGCUACUUGAAAUACCUAUGCUUUAUGAGGUGCUUUGUUUUUCAAGUGUUUAACUGGAUUAUACAGUAGCCAUUCCAGGUACUCCUUGGUUUAUGGCAGAGAGCUCGAAAGAUGCGGCAAAGCACAGGAAUGGAUUUUAGAGGUUUAAGUAUGUUUUAUAUUCUAUUAAGGUUUUUAAAUGACUGAAAUGGUAGGAAGCAUAGGCUUCAGAUUUGCAUUGGUUGUUCUUCCACUGUUAAGAACAAAUAGUUCAGGGUACUUUCCAUUCGUAAUAUCAUGUUUUAUUUGUAAGCUGGUGCUUGUGUGGGGAUGUUUCUGUGCUGUGGGGGAAGUAAGCAGCUCAGUAUUUCUUAAUAGUGUGUAUACUGCCUUGAGUGUUCAGAAAUUAGUGUGUAAAUGCUAGGAACACUACAGCCUAUGUCCAAAAAUGAUGAUUUUUGUGGAUAAACAAUUAUUGUUAACCGUUGCAGCCAUCAGAAGCUGCAUAGAAAUAACUGAGCUGAAUAUGCAGUUAUAGAAAUUAUGUGAAGCCCCAAUGCAGAAACUUAGAUAUUUGUAGUUUUCCCUCUGUUAUUACUUCAUUUACAGCAGCAGCACUAUCAUUUUAGUUAUUUAAUAAGGAUUUACUUGGAGGUCAAAAAAAAAAAACCAAACACCCCACAUUCUGCUGCUGAUGCACAUGCUUUUGUCCAGGAGUGUUUUGGCUGCCAAUAUCAUGGUUUGCCUGCUAUCUAAUGCCUUAGCAGAUUGUGACUCACACAGGCUGGUGCUGAGCUGAGCUUGUGAGCUGAGCUUUUGUUUUUUGUUACUACUUUCAAACUCAGAUGGAGCUGCUUACUGUCAGUGUCAAUGGGUACACAUGCUCUUGCUGCCUCAAAUAGUUUUCUCAGAAAGUAAGAAUUCAGUACGCAGUCAAUAUUCAUUAGGAAUCUACUCAGAGUGGCCAUGGUUGCCGUUUAUGUGAUGUGGCUGUAAUUAUAGACAGUGGUGUAUCCUGGGAAAACGUUCUCUUGUGUGUUCUUCAUCUCCUAGGACUGCACACAUAGGGAGACUGUGAGGUUGACUUGAUGAAUGUGAUUGAAAUAAUAAAUCAGCAUCAUUUUUUUUAUUAGAAUCUGCUCUUUAGUCCAUUAAGAACAUGAAUACAUUCUUGUUGCACUACUGUUGUCUGUGCCAAAUUCACAAAAAAUCAGAAGAAUUUUUUUUGUUUGGUAAGGUGACAGACAGAAAAUGUUUGAAGGUAUUCCCCUUAAGAAUAGAUUUAUACAAUGUUAAGCACAGUAUGAUGCUCCUCAAGUAUGAAGAUAAUAUUGGUUAUUUCAAAGGAAUAAAAAUGUCUCUGUAUGCAGAGGAAGAAGAGAGAGUAAAUCUUGAUCUGAGCAAUUGAGUCACAUGGAUAUCAAUUUACUUUUCAGUUCCUGGGAAAUGAGCAUUGCAGCUGAUUAUUUAUGGCUGCUGUGUUCUGUAAAACUUUGCGACUGACACACCAUUUUACAAGCUUUAUAGAGGCUGCUACCUUCUAUGCUUUUGUGAUACUGUGUUGUAUGAUGUCAACAUUAGUUUUGAGUAUCAUUCUAUUCUAAAUCUUAGGAAGUAGCAGCAGAAUUGAAUUCUUUGUAAUGCUCUUGAUGUUCAAUUAUGUUCAGCUUGGCAUGAUAGCUGUUAUGAAGUCCUAAUUACAGUGAUCGAUCCUGAUGUGAUCUGACUGAACAAAUGAAAGAAAUUAAGCAGAGAUGUCCAUUUGCACAAGCUUGUGUGAUUUAGCACUUUUGCUCUCUUUUUCCCUAUGCUACCUGUAGUGGUUGAGUACACAUCUUAACUACUCAUCUUUAUUCUGUUCUAUAGGAUUUCUAGAGAGAUCUUUCACGAUAAUUGCUCCAUUUACAUUUUGGUGCAAUGUCCACAUUCCUUUCUUCUCUCUGUUUAUUAGAUCUUGUUUCCUUGUGUUUGUUAAUACUUUCACUGUAUUUCUUGUGUUCAAAAGGAACGAUGAAGAACUCUUUCUGUGUCUGGAAUCAUUUCUUUCUGAAGGGUUUUUUUUGCUUUAGCUAAACAAGCCAAAUAGACAAACAAUUGAAUUUUGAAUUCAAAUUGAAUUCAAUAUGAAUUUCAAUUGAAAUUGAAACAAUGGGAAGAGGAGGGGGGGCUCUUUCUGGAACAUACUGACUGAACCCUCAGUUAAAAAAACAACAACAACAACAACAACAACAAAAACAAAUAUAUAUACAUAUAUGAAGGCAUAAGGAAGUAAGGAUGUGUCUGUGGUGCCCUCUCUAAGGAGUGUUCCAGGACUGUCAGUGGGAUGUGUUUGGCAUCACCUAGAGAACCUCUUUUAUAAUCUUCAGUUUUACAGUGCCAAAAUUAACUCCCUUUUUGUUUUACUGAGUCUCUCCAGGUUGUGUGAGUCUCUGUAGAACUGCACCUGUGUUUCCCUCCUCACAGUGUAGAUUUUUAAGCAUUUCUUAAAAGAGAAAUUUUCAUCUGGUUUGUUUCAGUCAAAGCUCUAGAGACAACACUUGCAGAAUAAAUGUGACUCGCAUGUCACCAUGCAGUAUAUCAUUAGCACCAGUCUGUUUCUCUCUUCUGUCCCUGAUCCACAAUCUUAGUGGCCCAGGAUUUACAUGGUGUUAAUUAGAUUGCUUAUUUCCAAGGAUGUGAACAAAAAUACAUUACCUUUUCCACAUCCAUUCCCACCUCUAGUCCAUGCUAAAGGCUGGUGCUGACACAAAGUUUGUUUGCUCUUUUCUCCAUCUUUGUAAUUGUAUGCUAAGGUUUUGGGGAAGGCAGGCAGUUCUUUCAUGCUAAGAACGCAUGUCCAGAUGCAUGUCUUGUUCCACAAAAAUACAUUUAUACAUAUUUAUGUAUAUAUAUGUGUGUGUGUGUGAGUGUGUGUGUGCUGAACAAACGAUGAUUGUAUGAACAUUUGCAAUUGAGAACUAUUUGUGGAAACAGCUUUUUGGAAAAUACUUGUAGCUUUUCUGCAAUGCAUAAAAAAAUCAGGAGGUACUGCAUUGUAACUGAUAGUAAAGUUCCCUGCCUUUCGCUUUCUCCUGAUGUAGUUGAAAGUACUAGAAAGAUAUGAAGUCAUUACCCAAUCAGAGAAGUGAUUGGUUUAUCAGUAUUUUGUAAACAAUGCCUGUAAUGAUUGAGUAAUUUCUAGUGAGUGCCUGAUAAAGAGGUAGGCAUCCACAUCCCUUCAUGACCAACAACUUUCAACUCCAAUCACUAAAACCAUCUCAGUCCAAGUCUCCCUGAGGCUAUAAAGUCCUGCAAAUUGAGUUUUCUCCUCUCUGCAUCUAUUGGUACCAUCCAGAGUGCAUUUGAAGCCAAUCAUGGCAGUGGAAGGAAAAAGCAGUAAUUCCUUGUGUAUUUGAAAGUAUGACUGUUUUUUAAAACUAAGAGGUGAUUACCUUUUACAGUGUUGAAUACACAAUAAGGGUAUGGAAAAUUUUAAUAAGAAAUCCAUAGAUCAUUACUUUUUAUGAAGAGAAAAGGCUGGAAGUAUGUACAAUUACCAUGUCAAGAUAAUGUUAUGGGACAAUUCAAAGUCUUACCAAUAAGCUGCAUUUUCUGACACUAUUUUCUCUCGAUCUGUUUUUUUCUUUAAUUUGCAAUUUGUUGUGAAAUAGAAUGUUAGAGGCACUUCAUAUUUAGUUAUGCCUGUGCACAGGGGAUUCACAAGUUAGUUAUGCCUGUGCAUAUUCAUCAAAAGGGUGAUUUUUCUUCAGUAUGGUUUAUGUAGUUUAACGUUUCUUUUUUGAGAUGUGGGAUGCUUUCCUGUGAUCUGUAGAAGAUUUGGCAAAGCACAUUGAUGUUCUGAAAGAAAAAGACAGCAGAUUUUAUGUAAUAAGUUGUUCUGUAGAAAAAUAUGAAACAGAAUCAGCAGGUGAUUUUUUUCUUCAAGAUGAACUAUAAAGUGCAGAGUUACUGAUUAAAUUUAAUUCCAGGAAUAUAAUCCCACUUUUUCUCUAGGUGGAUAACCAGGAACUUAGUACAACUACACUCAUAAAAUAAGUGAGGUUAGUCCCAGAAUUCUUUUUGUUGGAAUAAGGAUAACUGACUUAGGUGCACUGUCAGCCUUACAGAUACUGAAAGUAAGUGGCUGCAGUCUGACCAAUUGUAUGGACAUUAGGGAAGGCUCUCAGCAUUCUCCAGAUCACCGCUGUGGUCCUUGCUUUGUCAAAGGGUAGUUCGUUGUUUUUAAACCUUGUCAGCUGGGAUCUCUGGCAUGGCUCUGUACACAGCACACAUGUAGGCCUUAUUAAAAAGCACCUGAUGUGUUUGUUGCCAGGGAAACUUAAGCAAUUAAGCUCUGGAAACACAAUUCAUAGGAAGCAAAUAUUAGCUAUUAAAAUCUACUUUCUCCAUUAGUGCCAUGAAACCUAUGUGAAGUAGCCUUGCAGUUUCUUAGCGAAUGGAAGUGACAUAACUAGAGAAUAAAAAGGUAUAAUGUGAAAUUAUAAUUCACUGGACUCUAAGUAUGGACAGAGUAAUGACAGUGUGGGACUGGGUAUGUUUUAUACUCUUGCACUGAUGAUUUAUUGAGCACCUGAUUAUCCUGUUCAUGUUAUUGUGUGUCAUGAAUAACACUGAGGGUAAGCCUUUGACAAGGAAAGAAAGAUCAGGUCUGCUUUUUCCAGCAGGUCUGUUUGGAAUAUGAAGGUAAAAGCUAGGAGUGGGAAAAAGAACAGGGAAGUAUUUUCUAUUGUUUUAAUACCUUUUAAAUUAAGUUUGACUUCUCUGGAUUUAAUAUCCUCUUUAAUAUAUAAUGUCCAUUAUCUAUUUCAUCAUAAUUAACUAACACAGAAUGUAGUUAUAGGUAACUUCAAAAAAUAAUAGUUUUGUCUUUUGAUCAAUCUCAAUAUCAUCUUACAAUCUAGAAGCUGGUUUCUUUUUAGUAAUUACAUUGGAUUCGUUACUUAUUUCACAGUAAUUCUGCGAAGCCCUUAGUAAUUUCUUGUGAGGAAUUGAUUGUAGCAACACAUGCACUCUGUGCCAAACUUCUCCUGAGUACAAAUAUUCCUAGCAAAGAAUUAAGGGCUUAAUUUUUGACUGCUCUAAGCAAUAGCCACUCCUGAAAUGCCAUCCAGCACCAUGGACAGUCAGAACCCCAUGGCUGGCCUGUGUUUUUCAUAUGUUACUUUCGUUCUGCUUGAACAUCAGGAAGUCAAAGGGAAUUCAAAAGCACUGCUUUCCUUUCAGCUGUUCCAUUGAUUUUGAACCAUCCAUUCUAUAUUUGAGAGGAAAAUUAAUGUUGCUCUCUAGUCAAGGAGGGGACUGGAACUGUUCAUUUUACCAUAUUGAGGUAGCAAAAAUCUGGGAUAUUUAAGCUCAGACUCCAAGUCAUCCACAGUCUAAUAUUAUAGAUCAGUUGUAGUCAGUUGAUGUAGUCCCCUGUUGGCUUUGUUCAGAUUUCAUUCAGGCACCAUGCCUGCGGCUUCAAAGAGAGGUCUAUAUGAGAACUGAGCAAAUAGUGACUAGGAGCUUCCAGACUUUGCCCCCAUAGCCCUAAUGUAGUUUCAGUUAGCUCACAUGUAGUUUCUGUUCAGAUAAGUCACAAUGAAAUAGUGACACUGAAGUAAACGUUGCCUUCUCCGGGGUUUUAUGGAACUUUGCCUGAUAGCAACCUCAUGGAUUGGGCAGUGAGUAAGUAUUAAGAAGUGAGCAUAUGACACCGUUGACUUUUUUUAGUGGUGUAAUUGUGAGAAUGUGCGUCAAAACUGAUUUGCAUGCCUCUGACGACCUAUCUGACUGCAGGGACAAGGCCUGCAAAACAGCUUCGUGUAGCAAGGUGGUCUUUGAAGAACAGGAAACACUGUAUCAGAGAUCUCCAGAUAGUAUAGUUUGAAAUGAGCCUCCAGAGAUCAUGAAGGACAGAGUGAACUUUGAAGUUAGG
ensembl:lncRNA